UGAGUAAUCCAGGCAAUCGCAUGGGCGAAAGGAAUUUCGUUUCAUGAGGAAAGUCCGGGCUCCGCAGGGCGAGGAUGCCGGAUAACGUCCGGUGGGGGUGACCCUAAGGAAAGUGCAACAGAAAACAACCGCCGCAUUUCGCGGUAAGGGUGAAAAGGCGAGGUAAGAGCUCACCGGCGGAUCGGUAACGAUCUCGCGUCAAUGCAAACCCCAUUCGGAGCAAGACCAAGCAGGGAGGUAACUGCGCAAAGCGCAAAGUGCCUGAAAGGCGGCGGCCCGUCGCUUCCCGGAAGGUAGGUCGCAUGAGCGCAUCGGCAACGAUGCGCCUAGAUAGAUGAUUGCCGAAUACAGAACCCGGCUUAUAGGAUUACUCAUUUU
rnacentral:RNase_P_RNA from 1 species